UAUAGAGACUCAGAGCUGCAUAUCAAUAAGCGGAGGAAAAGAAACUAACAAGGAUUCCCUUAGUAACGGCGAGUGAAGCGGGAAGAGCUCAAAUUUGAAAUCUUCAAGGUUCUACCUUGACGAAUUGUAGUUUAUAGAAGUGUUUUCUGUUAGUAGAGUUGGCUAAAAGUUCUUUGGAAUAGGACAUCAUAGAGGGUGAGAAUCCCGUAUUUGGUCAUUCUUUCUAGCUGUGUGAUACACUUUCAACGAGUCGGAUUGUUUGGGAAUGCAGUCCAAAAUGGGUGGUAAAUUUCAUCUAAAGCUAAAUAUUGGCGAGAGACCGAUAGCGAACAAGUACCGUGAGGGAAAGAUGAAAAGAACUUCGAAAAGAGAGUUAAACAGUACGUGAAAUUGUCAAAAGGGAAGCGUUUGACACCAGUGUUGUUUUUCCGAAAAUCAAUUACGAAUGUUUUAUUUUUGAGGAGUUAUGACUUCAUCGGCUUGCUUCUUUCUUUACUGAAACUUUCUUAAUGCACUUUUCGGUUAACAAGUCAACAUCAAUUUCUUUUGUUGUAAAAGGGUAUGAGGAAGGUGGCUUUCUUUUCGGAGAAAGUGUUUAUAGCCUUGUGCCUCUGCAAUCGGAGAGAUUGAGGUCUGCAGCGUAGAUCCUUCGGGGUUAGAUACGUUUGUGCUAAGUUAUAGCUUUUCAUAGACAACUUGUUGACUAUGUUUAGUCUUGUAGCUUACUCGCUUAUGCUAUUUUACCUACGCUUAGGAUGUUGAUAUGCAUGACUGAUAU
rnacentral:rRNA from 1 species